rfam:Triticum aestivum genome assembly, contig: Triticum_aestivum_CS42_TGACv1_scaffold_473027_6AL
UUAGUACUCCCUUUGUUCGGAAUUAUUUGUCGUAGAAAUGAAUGUAUCUAGACGUAUUUUAGUUAUAGAUACAUUCAUAUCCGAGACAAGUAAUUCCGAACAAAGGGAGUACCUU